UACGUAGGGGGCAAGCGUUGUCCGGAUUUAUUGGGCGUAAAGGGCGCGCAGGCGGCGCUUCAAGUCCGUUGUGAAAUUUCAGGGCUUAACCCUGACGGGUCAACGGAAACUGAAGGGCUAGAGUGCAGCAGAGGAAAGCGGAAUUCCCGGUGUAGUGGUGAAAUGCGUAGAUAUCGGGAGGAACACCAGAGGCGAAAGCGGCUUUCUGGGCUGUAACUGACGCUGAGGCGCGAAGGCUAGGGGAGCAAACGGG
rnacentral:rRNA from 1 species